AAUGAACGCUGGCGGCAUGCCUUACACAUGCAAGUCGAACGGCAGCAUGACCUAGCUUGCUAGGUUGAUGGCGAGUGGCGAACGGGUGAGUAAUGCAUCGGAACGUGCCUUUUAGUGGGGGAUAACGUAGCGAAAGUUACGCUAAUACCGCAUAUUCUCUGAGGAGGAAAGCAGGGGACCUUCGGGCCUUGCGCUAGAAGAGCGGCCGAUGUCGGAUUAGCUAGUUGGUGAGGUAAAGGCUCACCAAGGCAACGAUCCGAAGCGGGUCUGAGAGGAUGAUCCGCCACACUGGGACUGAGACAAGGCCCAGACUCCUACGGGAGGCAGCAGUGGGGAAUUUUGGACAAUGGGCGCAAGCCUGAUCCAGCCAUGCCGCGUGAGUGAAGAAGGCCUUCGGGUUGUAAAGCUCUUUCGGCUGGGAAGAAAUCGCACCCUCUAAUACAGGGUGUGGAUGACGGUACCAGCAUAAGAAGCACCGGCUAACUACGUG
rnacentral:rRNA from 1 species